rnacentral:rRNA from 1 species
AUUGAACGCUGGCGGCAUGCUUUACACAUGCAAGUCGAACGGCAGCGCGGGCUUCGGCCUGGCGGCGAGUGGCGAACGGGUGAGUAAUGCAUCGGAACGUGCCCAGUAGUGGGGGAUAGCCCGGCGAAAGCCGGAUUAAUACCGCAUACGACCUGAGGGUGAAAGCGGGGGACCGAAAGGCCUCGCGCUAUUGGAGCGGCCGAUGUCGGAUUAGCUAGUUGGUGGGGUAAAGGCUUACCAAGCCGACGAUCCGUAGCUGGUCUGAGAGGACGACCAGCCACACUGGGACUGAGACACGGCCCAGACUCCUACGGGAGGCAGCAGUGGGGAAUUUUGGACAAUGGGGGCAACCCUGAUCCAGCCAUGCCGCGUGCGGGAAGAAGGCCUUCGGGUUGUAAACCGCUUUUGUUCGGGAAGAAAUCCUCUGGGCUAAUACCCCGGGGGGAUGACGGUACCGGAAGAAUAAGCACCGGCUAACUACGUG